CUCGGCCUUUCUAGAGAAGGCGAACCAAGCGACGCCGCACGAUUCCUCUGUACUUUUCUCUCUUCUCUCGCAAGUCGCGACCUCUCCGACGGCGUCUGCCCUAGGUCCGCUCGCCGCCGCGACGCUAUACGCGUACCCGAGGCGUCACGACAUCUCCCUCCCGUCUGCCUUACGCUUUGUAGAGAUUCCAGGUGGAGACGAGAAUGCAGUGUAGGAUGCAUCCCUAGACGUUCCUUGCAGCGACAGCGGCGAGGAGCCCAUUAUGUUUCCACGUCCUUCCUUUCAUGGAUACAGUGUCUUCUUUGCCUGUCAGAGCCCAGAUCUGGCCGUGGUUUGUACUGAUCAUCGUUUAAGAGAUAAGAGACUGGAAGAGAUUCAUCCCUGCACUAAGAAUCUGUCCAAAGAAACCAAGGGAAGAUUGUGAUAACACUGAGACUAUAAAUGAUUCAGAGUUUUUGUUGACUCCAGUUUGCCACACCUGAUGAUGCAGAAUUAACAACCGGAACUUUGAAAGAUGGACGACGACACAAUAUUACGUACUAGAAAUGAAAUAUAAAAAUGAGAAGAUACAGUGGAUCGUCAUAUUUAUUUCUUGUGGAAGAAUAGGGAUGAUGCCUAAGCAAUGACACUGCCUAUGUGACAGUUGAUGAGUAUCAUGGGUAUAAGGUAUGGAUACUAAACGAGCAUCAUGUUGCUGCGUUUUUUUGUGUGCCGUCUUGUAGCUUUGUCCAUGGUUAUUGAACAAAAUGCUUAUCAACAUAGCAAGUUGUGCUUGUUGGCUUCGAGAUCUUAAUAAGUUUAGUUAGUAUUUGCUACAUAUUAAUAAGCUUCUUUUCUUUGACCGGAAGGUCUUGGUGAGCUGUGAAGGUCAAUUUGGUACUUGCGCGUAAACUACUCUUUCACUCAAUUUAGGAAAUUACAUAAACUGCUGUUAUAUGUAUUCUUGACAAAUAUAAUAUAAAUUAUACACAUAAUCUUCUAACAUUAUCAAAAUCAAAUAUAACACUGUUUAUUUUUGGCAUUUACCUCAUUUCUACCGUACUGUAAAAGUUGUCUGCAGGGGGGCUUCACUUUCAGUGGCACUAAACAUAUAGAUGAUGCUCAAAAGUAGACCUGUGUUAUUAUUUUGUUUUGUUUCUAACCUCUCCUUUUUGCACAUCUACAGGUGCAUUUUGAAAGCUAUUUAUGCUAAAUUUCAAAAAAUCGCUUCACUUUUUCAGAAAUUUUAUGAGCAUCCAGACAAGCUGCAUGCAGCUUGAAAUGCCCAUGACCGGUUUCAGAGAAGGCACAUGGGGUCCGCUCUUGCUGCAGAGAGGAUGAAGAGGUUGCUGGCAGCAAUGAUCAAAAUAAGAUGUGUUUGGGUACGAGGAGCAAAUUAUCUGCACUGGUGUACAAUAUCUUUGCUUGGUCAUGUUGUUUUCAGUCCCAUGUUCUUAUAGCUUAUAUAAACAUAAUUAUAUUUUCCUACAUAUAAUAUCCAUUUUGCACAUUAUAUU